GAUUGGUGCUUGCAUCAUGAUUUACAUUUGAGUGAGUGGCGAACUGGUGAGUAACACGUGGGAAACCUGCCCAGAAGCGGGGGAUAACACCUGGAAACAGAUGCUAAUACCGCAUAACAACUUGGACCGCAUGGUCCGAGUUUGAAAGAUGGCUUCGGCUAUCACUUUUGGAUGGUCCCGCGGCGUAUUAGCUAGAUGGUGGGGUAACGGCUCACCAUGGCAAUGAUACGUAGCCGACCUGAGAGGGUAAUCGGCCACAUUGGGACUGAGACACGGCCCAAACUCCUACGGGAGGCAGCAGUAGGGAAUCUUCCACAAUGGACGAAAGUCUGAUGGAGCAACGCCGCGUGAGUGAAGAAGGGUUUCGGCUCGUAAAACUCUGUUGUUAAAGAAGAACAUAUCUGAGAGUAACUGUUCAGGUAUUGACGGUAUUUAACCAGAAAGCCACGGCUAACUACGUGCCAGCAGCCGCGGUAAUACGUAGGUGGCAAGCGUUGUCCGGAUUUAUUGGGCGUAAAGCGAGCGCAGGCGGUUUUUUAAGUCUGAUGUGAAAGCCUUCGGCUCAACCGAAGAAGUGCAUCGGAAACUGGGAAACUUGAGUGCAGAAGAGGACAGUGGAACUCCAUGUGUAGCGGUGAAAUGCGUAGAUAUAUGGAAGAACACCAGUGGCGAAGGCGGCUGUCUGGUCUGUAACUGACGCUGAGGCUCGAAAGUAUGGGUAGCAAACAGGAUUAGAUACCCUGGUAGUCCAUACCGUAAACGAUGAAUGCUAAGUGUUGGAGGGUUUCCGCCCUUCAGUGCUGCAGCUAACGCAUUAAGCAUUCCGCCUGGGGAGUACGGCCGCAAGGCUGAAACUCAAAGGAAUUGACGGGGGCCCGCACAAGCGGUGGAGCAUGUGGUUUAAUUCGAAGCUACGCGAAGAACCUUACCAGGUCUUGACAUACUAUGCAAAUCUAAGAGAUUAGACGUUCCCUUCGGGGACAUGGAUACAGGUGGUGCAUGGUUGUCGUCAGCUCGUGUCGUGAGAUGUUGGGUUAAGUCCCGCAACGAGCGCAACCCUUAUUAUCAGUUGCCAGCAUUAAGUUGGGCACUCUGGUGAGACUGCCGGUGACAAACCGGAGGAAGGUGGGGAUGACGUCAAAUCAUCAUGCCCCUUAUGACCUGGGCUACACACGUGCUACAAUGGAUGGUACAACGAGUUGCGAACUCGCGAGAGUAAGCUAAUCUCUUAAAGCCAUUCUCAGUUCGGAUUGUAGGCUGCAACUCGCCUACAUGAAGUCGGAAUCGCUAGUAAUCGCGGAUCAGCAUGCCGCGGUGAAUACGUUCCCGGGCCUUGUACACACCGCCCGUCAC
rnacentral:rRNA from 2 species